ACAUUCAAACCAUAGCAGGUGCAAAAUAAGAGACCUUAGUUUUAAGACAGGUUAUCCUGUGAUACAGAAGAAUUUAGUUAUUACCUAAUAUUUAAAACUUCUAAGCCAAGCAUUCUGUUUGUGGUAAAGAUUUCUCUUAACUGUUAGAUAUGGCAGAGUGAAUGUGUAACUAAUUUUAGUGUUGUCUUUGCAGUGUAUGCUGAUGGUAGCAUAUGUUUAGAUAUCCUUCAGAAUCGAUGGAGUCCAACAUAUGAUGUAUCUUCUAUCUUAACAUCAAUUCAGUCUCUGCUGGAUGAACCGAAUCCUAACAGUCCAGCCAAUAGCCAGGCAGCACAGCUUUAUCAGGAAAACAAACGAGAAUAUGAGAAAAGAGUUUCGGCCAUUGUUGAACAAAGCUGGAAUGAUUCAUAAUAGACAACUGGUCUGUUAAUCUUUUUCAUCAUUGUUGUGUAUAAUUUACCUCUCAGUAGAAAGGCUAACAAAUUUUAAGUGCCACAGGUUUUAAGGAUUCUGCAGAAAAAAAAGAAAAAAGUCCUUCAGUUUAGAACCUACAAAAGCUUGUGUAUCUUGAUUAAUGUACUUUUUAUUGCAUGGUGUGAACUAAGUUAUUGCUGCAUAAAUUUGUAAUAUAUCCUGUUUGUAUUUUUUUCCAAGUGUAUAAUG
rnacentral:sRNA from 1 species